AGAUUGAACGCUGGCGGCAUGCCUAACACAUGCAAGUCGAACGGGAGUAGCAAUACUCUAGUGGCGGACGGGUGAGGAAUACGUAGGAAUUUGCCCUUAAGUGGGGGAUAACCCGGGGAAACCCGGAUUAAUACCGCAUGACCUCGAAAGAGCAAAGUGGGGGAUCGCAAGACCUCACGCUUUUGGAGAAGCCUACGUCGGAUUAGCUAGUUGGUGAGGUAAUGGCUCACCAAGGCGACGAUCCGUAACUGGUCUGAGAGGAUGAUCAGUCACACCGGAACUGAGACACGGUCCGGACUCCGUACGGGAGGCAGCAGGUGGGGAAUAGUGGACAAGUGGGCGACAAGCCUGACUCCAGCAAUGCCGACGUGUGGUAGAAAGAACGGUCCGUUGGUUAGUAAA
rnacentral:rRNA from 1 species